rnacentral:SRP_RNA from 1 species
CCGCGCUAACCGGGGAGAUAGCGGUGCCCUGUACCUGCAAUCCGCUACAGCAGGGGCGAAUCCCGGCCCCCGGAGCCGCGCUGUGUCGUCUGACCCAGAUGUGCAGUGAUGAAGGAUCGGUCCCGCGCAACGUUCGCCCGUGAACCGUGUCAGGCGGGGAACCGAGCAGCACUAAGCGGAAUCGAGCGUGUGCCGUGGGCGUGCCGCUCCCGAGCCGGCUAUCUGGGUAACGGGCAUAGCGUGUGUUUCAAAGGCCGGUGCGCGG